rnacentral:sRNA from 1 species
UUUUAGCCCUGAUGGAAGCGGCAUCUUUUUGUGGUCUCGUUUUUUUUUAACGGGACCACAAAAAAUACAGCGAACAGCAGGAAUAGCU